UACGAAGGGGGCUAGCGUUGUUCGGAAUCACUGGGCGUAAAGCGCACGUAGGCGGACCGUUAAGUCGGGGGUGAAAUCCCAGGGCUCAACCCUGGAACUGCCUUCGAUACUGGCGAUCUUCGAGUCCGGGAGAGGUGAGUGGAACUCCGAGUGUAGAGGUGAAAUUCGUAGAUAUUCGGAAGAACACCAGUGGCGAAGGCGGCUCACUGGCCCGGUACUGACGCU
rnacentral:rRNA from 1 species